UACGUAGGGUGCGAGCGUUGUCCGGAAUUACUGGGCGUAAAGAGCUCGUAGGUGGUUUGUCGCGUUGUUCGUGAAAUCUCACGGCUUAACUGUGAGCGUGCGAGCGAUACGGGCAGACUGGAGUACUGCAGGGGAGACUGGAAUUCCUGGUGUAGCGGUGGAAUGCGCAGAUAUCAGGAGGAACACCGGUGGCGAAGGCGGAUCUCUGGGCCUUACCUGACGCUGAGGCGCGAAAGCUAGGGGAGCGAACAGG
rnacentral:rRNA from 1 species